rnacentral:lncRNA from 1 species
GUGAGCGUAGCGAAGGACGUAUGAACAAAUUAAAUUUAGGGAUAAUUGUCUAUAUACCAUUCAAAACUUUGAAAAUAUUUUAUUUACCUUUACUUUUUUCUUUUUUCAAUAUACCCAUUAUAUGUUCCUCCGUUAUUCCAAAAUAACUCUACAGUUACCACCCGUUAAGUUAACUUAAGUUAAACGUGGGUUAAAUAUUUAUCACAGUUAAAAAAAAUUAAAAUACCACUUUUGUCCUUAAUUUAAAGGUAAAUAAGAAAUGUUGGUGAUGAUAGAAGGGUAUAUUUGAAAAGAUCAAAAAGUAAAAUACUUUUUGUGCUCAUAACUUAAGAACAAAUAAGAAAAGUCGGUGAUGGUAGAAGGGUAUAUUUGAAAGGGCAAAAUAAUAAUUUUACAGAGAUAACAGAAUUCAUUAACAGAUUUUAACUUUAGGGGUAUAUUAGAAAUAGAUUGGAACGUAAAAAUGUAUUUUCAAUAUUAACCUUUUAAAAAGAUAAAUCAGAAAGUCAAAAUUUUCUUUGGAAUAUAU